rnacentral:rRNA from 1 species
GACGAACGCUGGCGGCGUGCUUAACACAUGCAAGUCGAACGGAAAGGCCCUGCUUUGGUGGGGUGCUCGAGUGGCGAACGGGUGAGUAACACGUGAGUAACCUGCCCUCUACUUUGGGAUAAAUUCAGGAAACUUGGGCUAAUACCGGAUAGGAGCUCCUGCUGCAUGGUGGGGGUUGGAAAGUUUCGGCGGUUGGGGAUGGAAUCGCGGCUUAUCAGCUUGUUGGUGGGGUAGUGGAUUAGCAAGGCUUUGACGGGUAGCCGGCCUGAUAGGGUGACCGGCCACAUUGGGACUGAGAUACGGCCCAGCCCCCUACGCGAGGCAGCGGUGCGGAAGAGUGCACAAGGGGCGGAAGCCUAAUGCAGCAACGCCGCGUGGGGGAAGACGUCCUUCGGUUAGGAUACCGCUUUCGCCUGUGACGAAGCGUGAGUGACGGUAAUAGGUAAAGAAGCACCGGCUAACUACGUG